rnacentral:rRNA from 1 species
UACAGGGGUGCAAACGUUGCUCGGAAUUAUUGGGCGUAAAGCGCGCGUAGGCGGCUACUUAAGUCGGAUGUGAAAGCCCUUGGCUCAACUGAGGAAGUGCACCCAAAACUGAGUGGCUUGAGUACUAAAGAGGGUCGCGGAAUUCCCGGUGUAGAGGUGAAAUUCGUAGAUAUCGGGAGGAACACCGGUGGCGAAGGCGGCGACCUGGGUAGAUACUGACGCUGAGGCGCGAAAGCGUGGGAGCAACAGG